rnacentral:rRNA from 1 species
AUUGCUAUUAUAGCUUCGGCGCUUGUUGAGUGGUGUGCGGCUGAUUAGAUAGUUGGGCGGGUAACGGCCCACCAAGUCUACGAUCAGUAGCUGAUGUGAGAGCAUGAUCAGCCACACGGGCACUGAGACACGGGCCCGACUCCUACGGGAGGCAGCAGUAAGGAAUAUUGGACAAUGGACGCAAGUCUGAUCCAGCCAUGCCGCGUGAAGGAUUAAGGUCCUCUGGAUUGUAAACUUCUUUUAUAAGGGACGAAAAAAGGUCUUUCUAGAUCGUCUGACGGUACCUUAUGAAUAAGCACCGGCUAACUCCGUG